rnacentral:lncRNA from 1 species
GUAAGGCCCAAAUUCUACCCGGGCCCAACAACCAAAAAAUCAAAAUUAAAAACAAAUAAAUAAAACCAUCACAGUCCAUUAAAUGUUCAAAAUUCAAUUACAUGACCCAAAUUUAAAGCCUAAAACCUAAUACAACCCAAUAGCCCAAAAUCCUAAUAGCACGUUUGGUUCGCUGUAUUGGAUUAGAGGUGUAAUAGCAAAUCAACUGUUUGGUUGAAUGUAAUGGAAUAGAGGCGUAAUAGUAAAACUGUGUUUGGUUGAAUGUAAUAGAGGUGUAAUAGCAUAAUGGAGAAAACUAAAAUGACCAGAAUACCCUUAGCAUAAAUUUGUUUUGGUAAAUGAUUAUUGUUAUUGUUAUUUAAAUUUUAAUAAGAUUAUUUAUUAUCAAAAAUAAAUAAUUUAAUCAUAUUUAAACAUAAUUAUUAUUUAAUAUAUUUUAAUUAAAAUAUAUAAUUUAAUAAAAUGGUUAAUAAUUAGCAGAAAUUUGUUUUGGUAAAUUAUUUUAUUUAAAUUUUAAUAAGAUUAAUAUCAAUAAUAAAUAAUUUAAUCAUAUUUAAACAUAAUUAUUAUUAAAUAUAUUUUAAUUAAAAUAUAUAAUUUAAUAAAAUUCUUAAUAAUUAAUAUUCUUAUAUGAAUUUACUCAAACCAUAAUAUAUGAUACUGUAAAAUAUAAAUUAACAUAAUUAUUAUUAAAUAUAUUAUAACUAUAUUUGCUGCAACAUCAUAGAAAUUCAAUACCGUAAAUCACUCCAAUUUUCCUAUUUAAACUCUAUAACUAUAUUUGCUGCAACAUCAUAGAAAUUCAAUGGAAGCAAACUAGACUAAAAGCAGAUAAUAGCCAAAUGUUUCCAUUUUUUCUUUUUCAUGUUUUUAAGAUGCAGGCAUACAUUGAAAGCAGAUAUGCACACUUCAGGCACAGUAUUCAUCAUACAAUUUGAAGAAAAACACUGCUACAAACAACGGCUUUUAGAUAAACUUUACAAAGGUAAACACAUCAUUAGCACAAAUUCAUAGCGGCCACCUGUUGGAGAGAUCUUGGCUGAUGAUCCGAUGACCCAGAACCAAGCUAUGACUGAUCCUGAUGCCAGACCAACUACUAGAAAUAACACCAUAACGAUGCCAGAAGUCUCUGCGUGUUGUAUCUGGACAGAUUUGGGAGCCAUGAUCAUUAACACACUUGUCAAGUAGCCAUUAGUUAGACCUAGAUUUGCCAUUUCAAACUAAAACAAAAUCCCAUGAUUUGCCACAAGUUAAAGACCAAGUCUCUCAAUAAGUGCCACUUCAAGAUCUCAUUUUCUUUUGACAUAACUCUUAAAAUUCAUUUUUACUAUGCUUUUCCCUUCAAAACAAACUUUAACAUGUUUCUGCAUUCCUAUUUGUUUAAAAGAAAGAUCCAUGCAAUUUCCUUAUUAAAAAUAAUUCAGCUUCGCAAAACACUGGUUCUCAUGCAAUUGAUCAAAAACAUGAUUUACAGUGACCUGCAAUAGGUCAAUCCAAAAUGCAUUUAAGGUUAGCAACCUGCCUGCAGCAGCAAAUGACCAUUUACAUGCAAAACUAUGGCAUAUCAGAGUAGAUAUUCAAUGGCAAGAAAAUGAAAAGUUUCUAACAAUAACCAGUACGAGAACACACCCUAAAACCAUCGGUGUGAGUAUAUAUAAAUAACAUUAGAAAGCAGCAAAUACAGGAACCAUCACAAGUGGAUGUGCAUUGUGCAUAGUGCAGAGACUGGAAACAAUGACUAACAGUCUAAAACAAUCAACUACAAUGUUGUCUGUUGUAUUGAGACAGUAUUGGAGUUAUCCAACAUAAGACUCGAUUAUUGCGAAGUAAAAUCUUACAAACUGCUUAAAGAACCAAUUUUAUGAAGAAAUACGGGAUUAUGAACCCAAAGUACAUCAAAGAUUUGAUAUGUGCCCUCAACUAUACAAAAUUUAACAAUUAAGUGCCCACAAUAGACAUGGAUACUUCCUCGAGCUCUUUUAAGUAAGGAACAACGUAUUUCUCUCUGAACUUCUUGUCAGGCAUCUUAUAAAUUGUAGUCAUGCUAACUUUCCUUCUUAGCGAAUUCUUACUUUCCAGAGUCUCAAUAACCAGUAACCGAGGCUUCAGCCUACGCUCAAGGCUGCAAAUAAGCACCAUUGGGUGGCUUAUUAUAAAUGAAAUACCUACAUUCGUUCUAUUAAGCAAAAAGUCAGUGACUUGCUUAAUCUUCCUUUCAGAUACAGCAAACACCUGUGGUGUCCUCCUAAAAGUAGACAUGAUAUCAUCUUCAGAGAAACCCAAUUUCCUAAAAAGCUUCAAUUUGAGUUCUCAAUUCUCUUCACUCAUUGAACUCAACACCCUAAUAGCAGCAAGAAACAUAUUUGACUUCCUAUCGAACCCCAAGGCAUCCGCCCUUUCAACAAACUGCUUAAUGCUCUCAGGUUUAAGCAAGAAAAAUCUAGGAAAGCUGAACACAUAUGAAACAAUUUGCGAUGAACAAAUCCCGCAAUUUCUCAAGAACUCUAUAUUAGGCAUCAUAGUCUUUUGCAAAUCAGAUUUGAGAAACCAAGCAGAAGUUUUCAAUAACUUAACAACAUCAUCAUUCGAUCCUAAAACAGUCUUUAAAUCGGAAAUAGAAGGUGCAAUCCUAUCAUCCACGCUUCUAGUCAAAAUCCAGGGAUCACUAGCUACAAUAUCAGCAACAUCAUGUGUUGAAAAUCCUAAAUCCUAGAAAAUCUUGAACUUGGGUUUAAUGGUUUUCUCAAGACUAGAAUAUAGAAGGUUAGGCUUUCUUUUGACCACUGCUUCAAUAUGGGAUUUAGAGAAACCGCUUUCUUUCAAGAAGGAAAUUAUAGUAUCACACUUACGAGGAUCCUUCACAUAGGUUAGGGAAGAUGCAGUCAUGACGGCAAGUUCAGGGGAAAAGCUGUGUUUCUCAACCAAAAAUGGAGUUAGACCUGGGUCAACUCUGGAGUUAGCCGAGGCCCUUGUUGGUACCGGAAACCGGAGGUCACAGACCAGAACAAUACUAAACAGCUAAAUUUCUGAGCCUUCAAAUAAUGAAGAACAAGUUCCUUAGAAAUAGACCAAUGACUCCUUUAAGAACCAAUCUAAUAAACUUCACCAACUUUCAAGAAUUCAUGGAUCAACAAAAUUAAAUUAACAUCCAUAUCUACAGUUAGUCAAAAAGUUGGUCGUUAAAUUACCAGAACCGCCGGAUCCCGCAACGAUAGCCUGCAUGUAGCGUUCAGGCAAUUCCCCAGCCACUCAAAUGAGCCCACCUUGAAUAAGUGCAUCGCCUAUACCCGCCAGAGCGAGAAGACCGACCGUGACGUAGAAUUUGUCAUACAAUCCGACCUGACCCUUAAUAUAAACCGCAUCCAUAACAGGCACGACGAGCAGGGAAACCACGAAAAUGCCCAAACCAACAUUGAUCCGCAUGUAAGCUUUACUCUUGUGAGCAUAAAAUACAAUGACCAAGAGGCAAGCGAGGCCGACGACCAUGUAAACGACGGCGAAAACACGGUGGACGGAAGCUUCCGGGUAGAGGUAGGAAAAGUAAUCGACGGCAGUGAUGAAGCUAUUCCAUGGGAGGAGAAAGCCAACGCCCAAAGUGAAGUAGAUGAUGUAGCCCAAAUUGAAUUUAUCUUCUGGUUAUAGGAAUGUGCGGAGGAGGAGGGCAGAUUCAGAGUCGGGUUUUGGGCCUCCGCCGAUUGCGGAUGCAUCGGGGAAACCCAUUUCUGUUUUUGUUUGGUUUUGUUUUGUUUUUUUCCACCAAAAUACAACUGGGAGGAGAAAUUAUGAGGAUAGAAGAGGAGAGGGUCGGGUAGGGAGGGAGGGUAAAACAGAGAGUUGGGGAGGGAAGCCAGACGUAAUACCUAUUACUCGAUUUGGGAAGGGAUUAGAAAAGCAGGGAAUUUGGGGAUUAGGUCGGGAUUGUAUUACGCCCGUAAUACCUAUUACAGCGAACCAAACGCCGGAUUAGGGGCGUAAUGUAAUAGGCGCGUAAUCGGUCAGUAAUGGAUUACCUAAUACAUUGAACCAAACACAGCGUAAAUGAUUUAACCUAAUACCCUAAACGGCCCAAAGGUUAAGCCCGAUUUUGGCAAACCCUAGGGCAGAGGGGUCAUCGCGCCGCAACCAGCAACCCCAGCAGCUCCAGGCCUCCGUACGCCCCAGCCUCCUGGCGCCACGCCCACGCCCCGCGCCAGCACAGCUUCCGUACGACCAGCACCCAGCCCUCGUACACACGCCCUGUACCUGUAAAAACAUACAAACGUACAGCAAAUACAAACAAACAACAGCAAAAUAGCAAAGGGAAAGGAAUGAAAUUUGUAUUUCGAUUUUUAUUUUUCUUUUCGGUUUUCUCUCUUUUCUUGUCGGCUAUAAAGCCUUUGUUUCAAUUGUAAAGAGGGGUUCCCCUUUUUUUUUUACGAACGCCUACACGUUUUUACGAAAGAGAUACCAGCAAUACAAAAAGAAAACAACAUCGGAAGGUGAUUUUCCGAUCUAAAUCUCUGGGCUUUCUUUCUUUGCGAUUAUUCUCUUGUUUUUUUUAUUUUAUUUUACUUUGAAAGCAAAUGAAGUAGAGAGAAAAAGACUUACCAGCAGUUCGAGUGGCUUCGGAUUGGUGCAACGGUGGAGGCGUUGAGCGCCGAUGAACACUGCAAUCGGCCAUGACCGCUCCCCUCUCUCCCUCUUCUCCCUUUCGUCUGCCCAUUUUUUAGUCUGUUAAGGC